rnacentral:rRNA from 1 species
UACGUAGGGGGCAAGCGUUGUCCGGAUUUAUUGGGCGUAAAGAGCUCGUAGGCGGCCUGUCGCGUCUGCUGUGAAAUCCCGGGGCUCAACCCCGGGCCUGCAGUGGAUACGGGCUGGCUGGAGGCAGGCAGGGGAGAACGGAAUUCCUGGUGUAGCGGUGAAAUGCGCAGAUAUCAGGAGGAACACCGGUGGCGAAGGCGGUUCUCUGGGCCUGUUCUGACGCUGAGGAGCGAAAGCGUGGGGAGCGAACAGG